rnacentral:rRNA from 1 species
UACGUAGGGUGCGAGCGUUGUCCGGAAUUAUUGGGCGUAAAGAGCUCGUAGGCGGUCUGUCGCGUCUGCUGUGAAAACCUAGGGCUUAACUCUGGGCGUGCAGUGGGUACGGGCAGGCUAGAGUGCGGUAGGGGAGACUGGAAUUCCUGGUGUAGCGGUGAAAUGCGCAGAUAUCAGGAGGAACACCGGUGGCGGAGGCGGGUCUCUGGGCCGUAACUGACGCUGAGGAGCGAAAGCAUGGGGAGCGAACAGG